rnacentral:pre_miRNA from 1 species
UGGAUAGAUUAUUGUAUUCGACUGUAUUCACGACGUGAAACAGGGGAUUACACUGUUUUUAAACGGAAAGUGAAUCAAUUAACAUAAUAGACUCCU